rnacentral:rRNA from 1 species
CACGUAGGGGGCGAGCGUUGUCCGGAUUUAUUGGGCGUAAAGAGCUCGUAGGCGGCUAAGUAAGUCAGGUGUGAAAACUCCAGGCUCAACCUGGAGACGCCACCUGAUACUGCUUUGGCUAGAGUCCGGUAGGGGAGCAUGGAAUUCCUGGUGUAGCGGUGAAAUGCGCAGAUAUCAGGAGGAACACCGGUGGCGAAGGCGGUUCUCUGGGCCUGUACUGACGCUCAUGCACGAAAGCGUGGGGAGCAAACAGG